rnacentral:rRNA from 1 species
AUUGAACGCUGGCGGCAGGCCUAACACAUGCAAGUCGAGCGGAUGACGGGAGCUUGCUCCUUGAUUCAGCGGCGGACGGGUGAGUAAUGCCUAGGAAUCUGCCUGGUAGUGGGGGACAACGUUUCGAAAGGAACGCUAAUACCGCAUACGUCCUACGGGAGAAAGCAGGGGAACUCUGGGCCUUGCGCUAUAAGAUGAGCCGAGGUCGGAUUAGCUAGUAGGUGAGGUAAUGGCUCACCUAGGAGACGAUCCGUAACUGGUCUGAGAGGAUGAUCAGUCACACUGGAACUGAGACACGGUCCAGACUCCUACGGGAGGCAGCAGUGGGGAAUUGUUCGCAAUGGGCGCGAGCCUGACGACGCAACGCCGCGUGGAGGAUGAAGGUCUUCGGAUUGUAAACUCCUGUUGCCCGGGACGAAUGGCUCCAACCUAACACGUUGGAGUGUGACGGUACCGGGUGAGGAAGCCCCGGCUAACUCUGUGCCAGCAGCCGCCGUAAGAC